rnacentral:rRNA from 1 species
GCUCCAAUAGCGUAUAUUAAAGUUGUUGCAGUUAAAAAGCUCGUAGUUGAACCUUGGGCUUGGUUGGCCGGUCCGCCUUUUUGGCGAGUACUGGACCAACCGAGCCUUUCCUUCUGGCUAACCUUUCGCCUUGUGGUGUUUGGCGAACCAGGACUUUUACUUUGAAAAAAUUAGAGUGUUCAAGCAGGCCUUUGCUCGAA